rnacentral:tRNA from 1 species
GGGUGGUUAGCUCAAUUGGUUAGAGCAGAGCGCUCAUAACGCUUUGGUUGCGGGUUCGAGUCCCACACCACCUA